CAAGCAGUGGAGUAUGUGGUUUAAUUCGAAGCAACGCGAAGAACCUUACCAGGGCUUGACAUCCCUUGAAGCAGCUAGAGAUAGCUGUGUCCUUCGGGACAAGGAGACAGGUGGUGCAUGGUGUCGUCAGCUCGUGUCGUGAGAUGUUGGGUUAAGUCCCGCAACGAGCGCAACCCCUGUGGUUAGUUGCCAGCAAGUAGCGUUGGGCACUCUAGCCAGACUGCCGGUGAUAAAUCGGAGGAAGGUGGGGACGACGUCAAAUCAUCAUGCCCUUUAUGUCCUGGGCUACACACGUACUACAAUGGCCGUUACAACGGGAAGCGAAGGAGCAAUCCGGAGCAAAUCCCUUAAAGGCGGUCCCAGUUCAGAUUGUGGGCUGAAACUCGCCCACAUGAAGGCGGAAUUGCUAGUAAUUGCAGAUCAGCAUGCUGCAGUGAAUACGUUCCCGGGCCUU
rnacentral:rRNA from 1 species